UACGUAGGGGGCAAGCGUUGUCCGGAUUUAUUGGGCGUAAAGAGCGUGUAGGCGGUUUGGUAGGUCCGUUGUGAAAACUCGAGGCUCAACCUCGAGACGCCGAUGGAAACCAUCAGACUAGAGUCCGGAAGAGGAGAGUGGAAUUCCUGGUGUAGCGGUGAAAUGCGCAGAUAUCAGGAAGAACACCCGUGGCUAAGGCGGCUCUCUAGUACGGUACUGACGCUGAGACGCGAAAGCGUGGGG
rnacentral:rRNA from 1 species